rnacentral:rRNA from 1 species
UUAAGAAUAUUCCGCAAUGGACGAAAGUCUGACGGAGCAAUCCCACGUGGGGGAUGAAGGCCUUCGGGUUGUAAACCUCUUUUAGGAAGGAAGAAUAAGGCGUUUAGGAAAUGAGGCGCUGAUGACGGUACUUCCAGAAAAAGCACCGACUAACUACGUGCCAGCAGUCGCGGUAAUACGUAGGGUGCAAACGUUGUUCGGAAUCACUGGGCGUAAAGGGUACGCAGGCUGCUGUCUAAGUUAGAGGUGAAAAUCCGGGGCUCAACUCCGGACCUGCCUUUAAAACUGGAUAGCUAGAGUUGUAAUAGGGGUGGUAGGAAUUCCUAGUGUAGGAGUGAAAUCUGUAGAUAUUAGGAGGAACACCAAUAGCGUAGGCAAGCCACUGGGUAACAACUGACGCUGAGGUACGAAAGCUAGGGGAGCA